GGCAUUCGGGGCUGGCAGAGUAAACCAAAUGCUUCUAGGAUGUUGCUUUUUCAAGCUUUUACCUGAACACCAGUUUCUUAUAUAUUUGCUGUCUCAAGUGCAAUCUCAUUUUGCAAGAGCAUGAACCAGCUAGUAAGGCGACGAAUCCUUUGUCUGAAGUUUCCACACCUCACAAAUCAUCAUCCAUAAAGCGCCCAUCCUCACACAGGUCCUAUCUUUGAGAUGGAGAAAACGAACCUCGGAGCGACCUCGUACUCAAUGCAGUGCACACACUGGCAUUUAGCAAAGGCCCCCUCCAGCCAGGGCCCCGCGUAUACUCGCUUCCAACCUCAGGAGCCCGGCGACCGCAGAGGCCGGGCCAGCGCCCGCUCCCGGCCGCGCCAUGCCCUCCUUCACCCUCACCCGCCGCCGGGUGCCUCUCACCUGGCAUGAUGGCAUUGCCCGCCCAGAGUCGCACGCGAAACCAUGGAUCCGGACGGGUUUCCGAGGCCGUCCGUCUGCCCUGAGGAAGGAUAGAGCGGAUGCGCGCGCGCGCACCGGAAUCCAGAGCACCGAUACCGGGAACACGCCGCCUGGUUUCUAAGGAACAGGGGUCUCUGGUACGGAGGGGCGGGG